rnacentral:rRNA from 1 species
GCCUAACACAUGCAAGUCGAACGCAGUAGCAAUACUGAGUGGCAGACGGGUGAGUAACAUGUGGGAAUCUGCCUUGUGGUUCAGGACAACAUUGGGAAACCGAUGCUAAUACUGGAUAAGCCCUUACGGGGAAAGUUUUAAUGCCAUAAGAUGAGCCCGCAUUUGAUUAGUUAGUUGGUGAGGUAAUGGCUCACCAAGACAAUGAUCAAUAGCUGAUCUGAGAGGAUGAUCAGCCACACUGGGACUGAGACACGGCCCAGACUCCUACGGGAGGCAGCAGUGGGGAAUCUUGCACAAUGGAGGAAACUCUGAUGCAGCGAUGCCGCGUGAGUGAAGAAGGCCUUUGGGUUGUAAAGCUCUUUUGUAGGGGAAGAUAAUGACUGUACCCUAAGAAUAAGGUCCGGCUAACUUCGUGCCAGCAGCCGCGGUAAUACGAAGGGACCUAGCGUAGUUCGGAAUUACUGGGCGUAAAGCGCGCGUAGGCCGUUGAGUUAGUUAAUUGUGAAAUCCCAAAGCUUAACUUUGGAACUGCAAUUAAAACUGCUCGACUAGAGUUUGAUAGAGGAAAGCGGAAUACAUAGUGUAGAGGUGAAAUUCGUAGAUAUUAUGUAGAACACCAGUUGCGAAGGCGGCUUCCUGGAUCAACACUGACGCUGAGGCGCGAAAGUAUGGGUAGCAAAGAGGAUUAGAUACCCUCGUAGUCCAUACCAUAAACGAUGAUUGCUAGAUGUUGGAAAUUUAUUUUCAGUAUCGCAGCUAACGCAUUAAGCAAUCCGCCUGGGGAGUACGACCGCAAGGUUAAAACUCAAAUGAAUUGACGG